UGUUAAAAUUUUUAUUUUUUUCUAUUGUUAAAAAUUGGCAUGGCUGAAGGAAUAAUUAGACAGUUACACAUGUCGUGCUGUGUGUACCUCAUGCUGACAUACAUGAAUCAAUUUUGAAUAGUAGAAAUAGAUAAAAAUUUUAACU
rfam:Gossypium hirsutum cultivar TM-1 chromosome 2, whole genome shotgun sequence